CGCAGUGGAGGCCGAGCCUUGGCCCUGAGGGCGAAGCUGGAAGUGAAAAGACCCCAAGGGAGGCUUUGUUGAAGCAUUUGGGGGCCUCGAUGGGCAGUGUCAAAAGUUUCUGUGUGGGGGUGUAUGUGUUUGUAUUAGCAGGAGGCGCAUAAUCCACGUGAAACUUUUGGAGCUUGUAAUUUUGAGGGGCGGAGUGGAAAGGAGGAAGACGGGAAGGUUAAUUUUAAGAAUGUUUGGGCUGUACUCUAGAGUGUAAUUCACAGUGGUUGUGAGAAAGGACCCAGAAAUAUGCAUACCCAGCAAUCAUCCAUGUAUUCAGAUGUGCUGCAUGAGAAAGCACUACUCCAGACGAAACAUCCUUCAUGACGUAUCAACUCUCUGAAAGAAAGCAUCAACCACGUUUAUACGCCAGAACUCUUUGAACCCCUUGCUGUAAAACCCUCAUCUUAUUCUAUGAAUUCUAAACUACCACAUCACAAUCCUUCCUUACUCAACCCUAAGUCGUUAUAUUAAAAGACCUGCCUUAAAUCGAACUUCGAAAUCUUAAAUAUCCCAACUAUUACACGCCCCCCUGCCCGCCUUCCUCCAAGGCACUACUAAGGCUCUGGUGAAAUGGUAUUCUUCUACCUCAAUAAACUCAGUUUUAUCUUACCUAAAAGUGGUUUUACUGAUAUUUUGAGGGCCAGCUUUAUGACAUUUCCAUCAGACUGUGAAUUCCUAAAGGGCUGGGUCUAUGUCUCAUUAAUCCAAUCUGUAGUUUUUUUACAUGAUUCCUUUGGGCAGGUGGUUCUCAAAAUGUUGCCUUCAGACCAGCAUCAUCUGAAAUCUUGUAAGAAAUGCAAAUCCUCAGGCUCAACCUCAGCUCCACUGAAUCAGAGGAUGAGUGGAACCCAGCAAUGUGUUUUAACCAACCCUCCAGGUGAUUCUGUUGUACUCUAAAGUUUUAGAACCACUAUAGAUCAUAGCAGAUGGUUAAUACAGAAGAAAAGUACAGAAGAAAGGUGACGAGUGUCAAAGGGAGGUAUAGUAAUUCCUAUUUAAAGUAGAUGAUGUACAACAGAGCUUCUUAGAGGAAGUGACAAUUUAUCGGGAAUUUAAAUGAUUAGUAAAAUUUGAGAGUAUGUAUUUAACUUUGGCUGAAUAAAGUAGUGUUAAAGCAUGCUUGGUUGGAUAACAGAAAAUGUUGUUGGAAAGAGGCUGAAGCUAAACUGUAAAUGUCUGCCUAAGGAGUUUGGCCUUCCUUCUGUCGAUAUUAAGGAGUUACUGACGGUAUGAUGUACUUAGAGAUAUAGCAUUAUAAGCUGGGGGGUGGGGGGUGGGAAAUCUGUGCUUUAAAUGAAA